CAAUAACAAAAAACUCAACUCACUCUCUCUCUUUCAACACACUUAUGGAACCAUUGUUUUCAAACUCAGAUCUUUGUUUUUCUCGGAGUAACUUCAAUAUGAGGAAUAUCAUUUUGUGAAUCAGAUUCUUCGAAUUGAGGUACAUCAAUUUCAAUUUCAGAUCUUUUCUUCUCGGAUUUAAUUUCAAAUUUAUGUACAUCAAUUUAAAAUUAAGAUCUUCAUCUAUCGUUGAAUCAAUUUAUGGAUCAUGACCCAAAAUUAUAAUUUAUGUCGUCCAUCUGAGUGCGGAUCGACAAUUUUAAGGUGCAUCCUUUCUCCUUGAAUCAAUUAAUAGAUCUUGACCCAAUUUUGUUUUUUAAUGUUUUUUUUCAAUAAUUUGACAGAAUAUGUUUAGAUAUGGGUUAGCUUCAUGAGUAAUUUAGAUUUUAUUGUUUCUUUUAUGUUUCAUUUUGUGCUUCUGGUUUAAUUCAAUCCUAAAAAUUAGCCUUUUUGUUUCAUUUGUUUGAAUGAGCAUGAUAGCAUUGUUUUUCGUAUCACAAUUCCACCACAAUCGAUUGAUUUUUCGUAGGAGUUGCUGUGAGUGCUGACUUUGUUUGGCUUGUUCUCCUUCGUUAGAGAAGGUUUUUAGUUUGUCCCUUGCGUAUAGACAGCAAGGUUUGUACUACUUUAUCUUCUCUGAGCUGUGUAAUUUAAUGAUAACAUGUAUUGACUGUGAUGUCUUUAUUGAUUUCCCUAAUGCAUUUUAAAUAUGUUUGUUUGGUUUGCCGAAGUACCUUUUUUUCCACAGGUUAUAGAUCAUGAAUUUCCAAACAAUUUUGACAACUUUGUUCACCAAUCCCUUGUGGCAAAACAAAUCAUUGCUGCUAUUGAUACUGCUGGACGAUGUUGCUGCCUAUGCUUAACAUGGCUACAUGCUGCUGCCACCGCCUAUGCUUGACGCUGCUGUUACUUCCUCUGCUUAACUUUAGUUGCUUCCUAUGCUUGCUACUGUUCAUGGGGUUUUCUAAGCUAAAACAAGGUUCUCAAUUAGUUAUGAAUGAGCACAAGUCAGAAUUAUAACAGUUGUAAUAGAAAACUCAUUACUAUGAAAUAUUGUACAAAAAAAUUUAUGUGCAAUAAUACAAUUAAUUUUUGGCAUAA